rnacentral:hammerhead_ribozyme from 1 species
ACCCAGCUGAGGAGUCCUAAAUAGGACGAAACCGGUGUUCUGAAU